GGGGAUAUAACUCAGUUGGUAGAGUGCUUGCCUCACAUGUACAAGGCCCUGGGUUCAAUUCCCCAGCACCCCCU
rnacentral:tRNA from 1 species